GUACUUUAUGUUGCUUGAAUUUUUCGUACUGCCAAGAGUGUGUGUUUGAAGAGUUACAGGUUGGUAGGGACGGAACAUUUAGCGAGAAAACGUUUUAUGGAAUACAUUAGUCAUACAAAACCAGACUAGUGAGAACGAAUUUUCCAGCGGCGACCCUUGAGGGGGCUAACGAACAUUAUGGGAGGGGAGGUGAAAUUUACCGCAUUUAGCCCGCGUUAUGGUUGUGUUGAACGGAUGAGUUUUUUGUUUUGUUUUGCUUUGGCCUUUAUUACUGAAAAACACUUUGCUUCUUUUGGCACCUGACUGGUUUGUGGCUAGUUAACCAUAGAUGCUACACAGAUAAAUAACGCAGUAGAUCGUGAUGACGAGAUGAGGGAGGAGUAUAGAGGAGAAAGCAGUCCUAUCUCCCGCUGUAGCCCAUAGCUGUCCGGGGAGUGGAAGCCCCUGCUAGUUGGCAGCGCAAUAAGAAAUGGGUAGGACGUGUUGGGCACCUGGCUUCAGAACUGGAUAUCCUCUAAAGAAAGGUGAAAGCCAAAAAGUUGGACCACAACCAGCACUGUUUGAAGCCUCCAAAGACCCUGACUAGUUUAAGAAGUGCUAAAAGAAAAUACUGAGGAAAUAAUUUGUGUUAAGGAACAGCUCUUAUGUAUGUGAGCUGCAUUUUCUUCCAGAGGCUAUAAAAAACACAUUCUCUGGAUUGUGUAAUGGAGUCCCACGUGAUGUCACUGCACUGAAAAGAGUAAGCAAUAAAUUAAGACCUGGGCCUGUGCCUCUUUUAUGGCCUGGAUGCCCAGACCAUCUGUCGAAGAAAGACAAAGAGAAAAGAAAACCUCCUCAAAAGAGAAACCAGCCCAACUCUCGAAGAAAAAGAACAGUGAAGGACAGCAGUGAUGUUGAGUCUGCUGAUUAUCCUGAUCCCUUAGCAUUGAACAAUCAGAAGAGAAAAUCACCUAAAGAUGACGAGAAAACUAGCUCACAACCAAUACCAUAAUACAGCAUUCAGCCUUGAAGGCCAAUUGAAGAAACUUCUGGAAGCAAAACACAAUUCAAAUGUACAAUUUUCAAAAUUUGAUCUGUUCCCCUUUAGCAAACUACUUCAUUCUUGCAAUCACAAUUCACUAAACAAUAAUUAUA